GGCAGAGCUGGGCGGUCUGUGGAUGGGUGUGUGUGUGUGUGUGUGUGUGUGUGUGUGUGUGUGCGCGCGCGCGCGCGCGCAUAGAGCACGGGCAAGGGGCAACCUGACCGGAAGACAGAGUAUGCAGUAUUGUCCUCUGAAGCAGCUCUCCUCCCGCCAGCCGAGACAAGACGGAGAUAGCCACCUUCUGUGGGGCCCGGUCCACCCUGGGCGCCCUCUCCCCCGCCCGAGCUGCUCCUCAGCCACAUGCCCUUGGGCUGAGCUAAGUCCAGAACCCGGCUGAGUAGGGGAAUUGUUCUGAGAAAGUGGCCCGUUGGCUGGUUGCUAUGGAAACCGACAUACCACAGCGCUGACCCCGGAGAGGUUUAGCACGCUCCCCCAGCAGGGAUGCCAGCAGCUGGACUGCAGCUGUUACAGCCUAAGUGGGGGCCGCCGCCGCCGCCAGCGGUCCCGCUGUUUGCCUAAACCAGGCCGGCAGCAGAGCGGCUCCGUGCUCCUGCCCCGCGCCGCACCGCACCCCUCCUCCCCGGGAGGGGAGCAGCGCCCCAGCCCUGGAGGGUGGGGGUGGGGCGCAGGGCGGCCUCGACUUUCGGGGAGGACAGGAAAUCUCCUUCAAGAAGCGUGGCUCAUCCUUGACGGGCAUGGGACGUCCUUUGCAUUUUAUGUCUGGGGAAACUGAGGCGCAGGGAAGAGGAGGAACUGGUGCCUUCCCCGUAACGCGCUACUUGCCACCCUGCCGCCAGCCCCGCGCGGCCCACCCCGGACACCACCGAGAGAGUACUGCGCACCGAUGGAUGAAUGAAAGAAGCACCCCAAACGGAUGGCAGAACUAGAAAGAGGAACACCGAGAAGAGGAGAGGGAGCAACCCAGUCUAACAAACAUCAAAGGCCCUUCUGAGCUAGUGGCCCCCUUCCCUCCAGAAGACAGCCCUCUGGCUUCUCAGGAUGAAUUAACUGCCUUCUAAGGCUCUCCUCACCUAGCCACCCUAAACCAGUUGGUGGCAGGCGACUUGAGAGCUGCUGUGUGUCUCCUGCUGUCCUUAGCAGGGAGGAAGUUGUACUCCUUGGUUCCAGGGACACAGGGUCUCAGGGAUCAGCUCGGGAAUGUACACUCCCUAGCUGAUGACCUGGCUCUGCAGUGGGCAGGAAGAUUGCUUUCGUGUUUACGUCACCUUCUUUACUUUUUAAUCAAACGUCAACAUCACAGGCGUAUUCUGCUCUUCAGAUCCAACAAGGACAGCUUCAGAGCCAAUGCUCUCCUCGUCUGGCCACCUUUCUGUCUUCUGAAAAAGACCACCCUGUCAGUUGUGGGCAUCUGCCUCCAUUUGAGAUGGAGAUGAGGUAUCGAGAGGAUUGCAGGUGCCCUGACGUCUGGCCGGUGAGGUUAUGGAAGGCAUUUGUUGAGCAAAUGACACCCAACCCCAUCUGCAGGCCCUGUGAGUCUGGUGGCGGUGAGGGCACAUGUGGAAGAAGCCCUGGACAAGUAUCCCUGGUCAGAAGUAGUUUCCAGUCUUGAAGGACUCAGCAGCUGAGUGCUCUGAGGUUAAUCAGAUUACAGUCAGACACCGCCCUGUCCCAGAGAAGAGAUGCUUUGCCCACAUCUCAAGGCACAGUCGAGCACCCACUGAGUGGCGAUGGUCUUUAAGCAAAGUGAAGAGGUGAUGGUGAAAUUAGACCUGCAAGACCAUUCCAAGGGCAAACUCCAGACAGAGCUUUCCUUCCGUUGCCUCCUCCUUGCAAAAACAGAUCCAUGAAUAGCCAACUCUGGGAAGCAGCAGCAUCCCAUCCUGACAGCAGCCGUCACUGUGCCCUUCAGGAAAAGCUUGGAGAUGAACCCAAGACAAAAACUGGGCCAAGGCCACAGAGCAAAUCACCCUGAGACACGGUUGCAUCCCACCAGAUGACAGUGACACCCCUUCCCCAGUCACUGUCUCACUGAAGUCCCAACCACUUCCUGGGCCACCCUGCAGCACAGAUGACAAUUCUUAUUCCCAUGUGACAAGGAGGAAAAGUGUCCUUUGCGUGUGGCCUGAGUACACACCUGAGGUCACAACAAUAAAAAGUAGUGAAGUCUGUGGGUCAGCACCCAUCCUCUUCAGGACAAGCCUCUUGGUAAAUUUUCUCUGUCCUCAGAGACUCUAGUACACAUGCAAACAUUUCUUGUACAGCAGCAAGACAAAAAGUUGUCCUGAAGUCUGCAGCAAGAUUUGUUCAGCCAUGUCUGGGUGUAGAGGGGAAGCAGAGGGGGAGAGGACGUAGCCAGAGCCUAGUGAGUCAUGGGUUAUGGGGAAAGGGAUCACCCUCAAGUGUGCUGUCACUCUGCAAAGAAUGUAGCACAAGCGACUAGGCUACUUUUCCGUUGACAGUGACUUCUAAAACAUCCCCAGGAUUCUUAAGCUAAGGGAGCAGCAGGUACCUUUCUAAGUAAAAAAUAAAGAGGGAGGUGGUAAUGGGAGAGGGGUGACUGGGUGGGACGGUGGACAGACAACAGGCUGCGUGCUGAGGAGCAGUGGGGUCAGUACAUGAGUGACAAGACACAGCACUCCCAGCCAGGUUUCCCAGAGCACAGGCUGUGGGCAGCGCCAGCAUUCUGAGGGGGCAGAUGUGAAGGGCAGAGGAUGAAGUUGGAUCCCACAGGGCCAGGCUGUGUGUUCAGGAGCAGGAAACAAGAAAGGCCUGGUCAGUUCAGAUACCCGGAGUGCUGAUGUGCCAGGCAGGAGGGCCGGGGCCCACAGAGGGACCUGUGGAACCCAAAGGAAAGAACCCAAACGCUUGGCUUACUGGGAGUAAUUUUAGAAUGAGAGCUGCAGACUAGAAAGAAAAAGAUUAUGUGUAUUACAAAACAUUUAAAAAUGGGCUGGCUGAAAAUUAAGGCCAAUUACAAGUAUCCUUACAACACUGUAGGUGACCCAAAAUGUUUACUGAAUGAAGAAGGCUCUUCUCAUUUUAGAGAUAAGAGAAACUAAGAGAUCUGUAGCUUUUACACGUAAUGAUAUGCUAUGUCUCCAAGAUAGCAACAAACCUCCCAAAGCCUACGGGAGAAAACCACUCUGUCUUGAUGAACUGCUUUUCAGUGUUGAGUUUGAAAAUGGUGCUCCACAUGUGACAGCUCCGUGUGCACCAGGGCAAAAUCUGGUUCUGUUGGAUCUGUCUGCACUGAGAUCCUACUGUAUGCCCGACACUGCACAGAAACACUUCCUUCCUCUUCCACUGCAGACCACAGCGAAGUAGGGUUUGCUGCCUUCGAGGAUCCUGUUGCUGAUGCUGCUGUUGCAGCCAAGGCUGAAGACACAGCAGGAGAUCUGCUGGCUCCUUGCAUCCCCUGGGGUCCUGAGCACCUCCUGGCUUGGUUACAGAGGACCUGGAUGACCUGUUCUGCCCGUCUUCCCAUCCCUGGCAACCUGGUGGCAGAAGGGGGGGUGUGGUGCCUGCCACAGUGCCUGUCUCCCUUGCCAUUUCUUCUGCAGCUCCCUCACUGGCCCUGUUUUUCAGACCUCUAGUAAUAAAAACAAGCCAAUAAAAUGAACAUGAAAAUAUA